rnacentral:rRNA from 1 species
UACGUAGGGACCGAGCGUUGUCCGGAAUCAUUGGGCGUAAAGAGCGUGUAGGCGGCUAUUUAAGUCCUGCGUGAAAUCCUGCGGCUCAACCGCAGACGGUCGUGGGAAACUGGCAGGCUAGAGUGCGGGAGAGGAGAGUGGAAUUCCUGGUGUAGCGGUGAAAUGCGCAGAUAUCAGGAAGAACACCCGUGGCGAAGGCGGCUCUCUGGAACGCAACUGACGCUGAGACGCGAAAGCGUGGGGAGCAAACAGG